AAUAGGUAUGCUUAGGGAGGAGCUUGCGUCACAUUAGUUAGUUGGUGGGGUAAAGGCCUACCAAGACUAUGAUGUGUAGCCGGGCUGAGAGGUUGAACGGCCACAUUGGGACUGAGACACGGCCCAAACUCCUACGGGAGGCAGCAGUAGGGAAUUUUCGGCAAUGGAGGAAACUCUGACCGAGCAACGCCGCGUGAACGAUGAAGUAUUUCGGUACGUAAAGUUCUUUUAUUAGGGAAGAAUAAAUGAUGGAAAAAUCAUUCUGACGGUACCUAAUGAAUAAGCCCCGGCUAACUAUGUGCCAGCAGCCGCGGUAAUACAUAGGGGGCAAGCGUUAUCCGGAAUUAUUGGGCGUAAAGGGUGCGUAGGCGGUUAAAUAAGUUUAUGGUCUAAGUGCAAUGCUCAACAUUGUGAUGCUAUAAAAACUGUUUAGCUAGAGUAAGAUAGAGGCAAGUGGAAUUCCAUGUGUAGUGGUAAAAUGCGUAAAUAUAUGGAGGAACACCAGUAGCGAAGGCGGCUUGCUGGGUCUUUACUGACGCUGAGGCACGAAAGCGUGGGGAGCAAACAGGAUUAGAUACCCUGGUAGUCCACGCCGUAAACGAUGAGUACUAAACGUUGGGUAAAACCAGUGUUGAAGUUAACACAUUAAGUACUCCGCCUGAGUAGUACGUACGCAAGUAUGAAACUUAAAGGAAUUGACGGGACUCCGCACAGCGGUGGAUCAUGUUGUUUAAUUCGAAGGUACCCGAAAAACCUCACCAGGUCUUGACAUGCUUCUGCAAAGCUGUAGAAACACAGUGGAGGUUAUCAGUUGCACAGGUGGUGCAUGGUUGUCGUCAGCUCGUGUCGUGAGAUGUUGGGUUAAGUCCCGCAACGAGCGCAACCCUUAUUGUUAGUUACCAGCACGUAAUGGUGGGGACUUUAGCAAGACUGCCAGUGAUAAAUUGGAGGAAGGUGGGGACGACGUCAAAUCAUCAUGCCCCUUAUGACCUGGGCUACAAACGUGAUACAAUGGCUGUUACAAAGGGUAGCUGAAGCGCAAGUUUUUGGCGAAUCUCAAAAAAACAGUCUCAGUUCGGAUUGAAGUCUGCAACUCGACUCAUGAA
rnacentral:rRNA from 1 species